rnacentral:rRNA from 1 species
UACGUAGGGUGCGAGCGUUGUCCGGAAUUAUUGGGCGUAAAGAGCUUGUAGGCGGUUUGUCGCGUCUGCCGUGAAAAUCCAGGGCUCAACCCUGGACCUGCAUUCGAUACGGGCAGACUAGAAUUCGGUAGGGGAGACUGGAAUUCCUGGUGUAGCGGUGAAAUGCGCAGAUAUCAGGAGGAACAACGGUGGCGAAGGCGGGUCUCUGGGCCGAUAUUGACGCUGAGGAGCGAAAGCGUGGGGAGCGAACAGG